rnacentral:rRNA from 1 species
GUCCACGCCGUAAACGAUGGAUACUAGCUGUUGGAAGCAAUUUCAGUGGCUAAGCGAAAGUGAUAAGUAUCCCACCUGGGGAGUACGUUCGCAAGAAUGAAACUCAAAGUAAUUGACGGGGGCCCCGCACAAGCGGUGGAGCAUGUGGUUUAAUUCGAUGAUACGCGAGGAACCUUACCAAGGCUUAAAUGUAGAUUGACCGAUUUGGAAACAGAUCUUUCGCAAGACAAUUUACAAGGUGCUGCAUGGUUGUCGU